UUAUUAAGCUACUACUACUAUGCUACUAUAAAAGGAAAAAAAAAGGAAAACACACACAUAAAUCCAAAAUGAAAACCUUCCAAAACAUUCCUCCUCCAACCACCCAACUCCAACAAACCACAGUGAGACACGACUUGGACCUCUAAUCAAGUAUUCACCCUUCAAUAUAAUCAAUACUGAGUCCAUCGGGGGAGAGAGGAGUCUCCCUUGCACCACAGACCCCCAGGAAACACAGCUGCCACCUCUUGUGUUUCCAUGUCACACAUGGCACCGCCCGGAGAAAAUCUGCCAGUGUGAUACUCUCCUUUCCAUGCACAGUGCUCUCACCACAGUGCAUGGAUGGACAGCCUGUUCUUAGGAUUUUUCCUUUCAAGGAUGCCCUGCCAAGAGGGGAAAAAACAACAGUUCAGUUUUUCAUUUUUUGGGACCACAGUCCCCCCCAUUUUCUUCCUCCCCUGGGGCUGAGGGUCCAAGAACAGAGACCUUCUUAUCUUCUAAUUCUCUGAAGACAAGGGGCACCACCACAAACCUCCCUGACUUUUCUCUGUUUGCUCCAUUCCUGUCUUUUCUCAGCUGCUGAAGCAGGUCUCUUGGCUCACCGGCAUCCUCCUAAAAUACAGUCUCCCUUGGAGGAGAAAAAUCGGUUCAGUCUGUGGCUAACAAGAAAAAGUCCAGCCAAAAGCCACUCCAUCAUCUUCCCCCCCAAUCUUCUUUCCCUAACAUCCCAGGUCCCAGGCUGUCUCUCUUCCUCUCUUUCAAGCCGAGGAGGAGUAAAAUUUCACAAAGCUUUCAUUUCUCAGGAAGGGUUAAGAGUCCCGACUCCCUGGCCGGCUCUCUGCCCGGCUCCCGGCUCCCAGGGCUCUCCUUCCCCGCCGUGUACUGCUGACAAACCGCCGCUGUCUCUUUUUCUCGAGAGACUCUGGGGGGGAACGCAGACAUCCCAGAUUUCUCCACCCUUCCAUCUGCAGGGGCCAGCCCAGUUCAGUCCCUCCACCCUUCAGCCUACCUCAAGCUGGGCCGCAUGGCUCCCGUCCCCCACCCAGCCACAGGCUUGGGGGGGAGAGUCUGCACUGCACCCUGACCGGAACCAAAGAGAGAAAGUUCUCCUGGGAAUUCUGCUUUUAACCCCUCUGUGUUUUCAGAGGCAUGUCCAGUCUUCAAUUGGUCACCCCAAGUGUCAAUAUCCAAAUUGACCUCUUCCUUCUGAGAAGAUUCUUCUUCCGUGUCAAACCACGACAUAAAGAAAACGAAACUGAGUCUUGCUUUCAAAAUGGAAACUUCCCUAUCCCACAGUAUUCAGCUCCAGUACAGACAUUAAAAAAUUCUUUGUUUCCUUCUCUGUUCAUCUUCAGUAGAGACGCCGCUAGCUCAGAGCAUGGCAGGAUGACUUCUGGGACACUGGAAUCUGCCAGCCCCCACCUGAACUUUGCUGUCCCAGUAUCUGCCCCUUGUCCCUUACCCCCUCACUGCAGAGCAAAGAGCCUUGUUUUGCUUCUGCUCCUGCAGCCCUGGAUGCUCCUGGUUCUCUGUGGCCAAGCCACCCACUUGUCCCAGCUCCCUCCUCCCACCCCUAUUAGCUCACAUCCCCUGGGAAAAAAAAAAACAACUCCCUGGAAAGCUGUGGAACAGCCUGGCUGGGGUGAUGCUCAGGGAAACUGUGUUCCUCUCCUAGAGGGCCAGUGUGUCCCAAAAGCUUUGUGCUUAUCCUCAAGGUGCUGGUCAAAGAGGGGGCAUUGGCAGGCAGGGGGCCCUAUGGUGGGAAGAUGCUGCUUGUGCCUGGGGGGUCUGGCAAGGGAAGUGGCAAAUCUUGUGCCUGGUGUCCGGCCCUGACCCUUGCCCUGGACUGCUCCAGAUGAACGGCUCCCAAAAGCUGCCCCACUCUCCCCCUGCCAGACCAGGGAAGCCCAGUGCCCACAUGAGAGUUGGGAAUAUUGGGUAGCCCAGCGAGCACAUCUCUUCCUGAUGCCAGCCUGGCAGCUGGGCUUGGCUCUGGCCAAAUCCAGGCAACAGCUCUAUGGAUGCAGUGGGAAGACAGGAGGAUCCUCGCAUUGAGCUGAUGGCUGUUUAAUGAGCUCAUUUUCUUUAGCACUAUUGAUUUCCCUGGGCUCUGCUGUGAGCUGGUUUGCCUUCAGGAAACAAGGACUCGGCACCUCUGAGCAAGACUGUGCCUUAAAUUCACAGGAUGCACUGGAGUGGUGUGGGCAGGGAGCAUCCUGCUGGUUGAGGCUGUUCCAGGCAGUGCUGAGUGGGCUUGUUUUUCUAUCCAGUGUUGAUGACAAAGCAUAAAGCUCCAGGAGAGGGUUCGCACCCUUGGAACUUGGACUUGCACCAGAUACUAUGUCCAAGCACAGCCUUGCAGCUGGAAUAACUCAAACAUGGCUUUUCCUGACUCUGGUGCUCUGCUGCUGGCUGAACUCACAUGCACAUGGACACACGGACCCUUUUCUUGCACCAUCAUGGACUCUGCAGCCAGCACAGAGGGGCCUGGGAGUCCCAUGCCUCCCACUGGCCCCUUGCCUGGAUGCCUGCAGCGCAGACCAUUCCCAGCCAGUGGCACCCCUGCCCAAAGCUGCCUCCAGCAGCUCUGGGGCUGCUGCGUGGAGGCAGAUGCUGUUCAGAGCCCAGCUUGGGUACUCACUGCUCCCCCAUGCCCUGUUUCCUCCCUGGCCACCUUCAUUCACCUCCUGGCACCUGGAUGGAAGGGGAAGGGGUGCCAGCCUGGCCAGUCCCAGCACCAUUGGCUGCCCUAGCACAUGGAUAAGUGUGAAGCCACACACCUGCAGCAUGUAGAAGCCACAGGAGACCUGGGAGGGAUGUGUCAUGUCCAGCACAGCCCUUGGGCACAGAGGAGAACAGGGGUCAGCCUACUGCAUGCCCACCCUGUUGGGGCACUCCAGAGGGGUAAACAAAAGGAGCUGUAGGUCUAAAUGUGCAAUCAUUAUUAUGAUUGAAUUGGCAUAACAAAGGCUUGAUGGGCUCAGGCUUAUGACUAGAAUAUUAAUAUAGAAGGAUGAAGCUUGCUCUGGAAAGACAGGCAGCGGAUUAACGGGAAAUGUAUUGUUUUGUAUAGGCUAGAUACAUUUGGCUUGUAAUCCAAUGGGAACCUGGAUGUAGUCCUGCCAAGCUGAGGGGCUUUCCAUGAGCAAUUGCCAGGCUCAUCCAAAACCUGGGACAUCAGGAUGAUGGAGAAUGUCCCUAUGCAAACUUCUGAUGUGACAGAGCAGCACAGGCAGGCCAGGUCGGCAGCCCUGUGUGGAUAGAGGCACAGCAGUUAGCAGGAAAACUGGGAGCAGGAGGGCAAAAUUGGGGAGCUGGGGCAGCAGAAGGAUGUGUGGCUUUUUAAAAAGAGGAGAAACCUGAGUGCUCAGUUCUGCUUUGGACCUCUGAGAAACACUAGGUUAAGCAGCAAAGCAGCCUGGAACUCUGCAGGCUGGCACACUGGGGAGCAAUUGCCAACUCCGGCUUCUCAGGGUGAAUUGUGGCAAACAUGAUCUUGUUCUCUCCUCUGACAGAAAACAGGAAACACAGUGUGUAUGCUUGAUGUUCAAAAGACUUUUACACAGGUCCAUAAAAACCUCUCAGCAAGCAAGCAGCAAAUCAUAUCCAGCCUAACACUCGUGUGAAAUGAGUGCUGGUCCCAGCUCAGGCUCCAGACUGUGGCUGUCAGCAGGUGAGAUCAUGAGAUACACAACUGCAGGCACAAUAGGAAGAUAGGAAAUGUGGAGAUUAUAUUGGAAGGCAGAUUCCUAACCCCAGAUUCUCCCUACACACACCUCACUGAGAAAUUAGAUAAACAGGCUUGGGGAGCAGGACAUCAUGGAGCACAACCCCAUACCGGCAGCAUCCCAGCACAGCCAGCACAUGGUAUAAACAAAGAAAUUACUCACUUGCAAGAAGCAAUUUUUGGGGGAGGGACUGACAUGCUAAUUAAUUACUGCAGAGUAGGGGGCUAACAGCAAAAAAACCGGGCAAGCACAAUGCUGGGAUGCGUAACCGUGAAAGGGCUGCAGAGUUGCUGGAAGCAGCUCGGUCCCAGCAGCUGGGAGCAGUGGCUGGAGAAGACAGUUAUAUGUGGACAUUGCCUUUUGGGCUGUUUGGAGAGGAUCCAGAUAAGGAUGUCAGAGACCUGGAAAACAUGACUGCAAGAAAACACAGCAAAUGUGGGAUUGUUUAAUUGGUAGGAGGGAGUGAAGGUAGCUGCAGCAGCAGUCUGCUGGAAUGUAAAUGAUUCCUGCAACAAGGAGUCUGCCCAUGCCAGAUAACACAAAUAGAAUCAGGCUUAGAUUAUGACAAGGAAAAUUGAGAUAGGCAGUGGGAAUAAUCUUCCCAGUCAUAAGAAGGAGGGGCUGGACUCUCCAUUGCUAAGGUUUCUGAGAGAGCUGGGUCCACAACAGCAUGGUAUUACCUGGUAUUACCAUUAGCUGGUCCCAAAGGCUCCCUUGUUUCCAGAAUUUAACAAUUUCUGGGUACAAGCAUAUGGAAAAUGCUUACAGUGGGGGCCUGGCUGUCAUGGCCUGGGAAGAAGCAAAGGUAAAACUGGACAAGAGAUCAAAAUGGUUAAAUGGGUCUGUAUGGGCCAUGGGAGCACCAUUGUCACCAUUCCACAGAGCCACAGAGGGUGGUGCUGGGAUAUCAAACCAGCUUCCCCCAGGAACCAACAGAUAGAGAAUUCAUAGGAAUGAAAUGCUGGGGUAAAACAAAGCAGAUGAAGCUCAUGUCAGCAGCAGACCCCCUGCCAUACUGGGUGCUCAAUGGGAGCCUGGGGAAAGAGAAGCCUGGUAAGGAAACCUGUCUGGAAACAAAAUCAGUUGGGGACAGUGAGAGGAAAAUGUGCCAGGUGACAAACAGUGUUUGUAGAGACAAGGGCUAUGUAAUUUGAAUUUGUGAAAUAAUUUCUGUUGUCUCAGUACAGAGGCAGUGAUGGCUGAUGGCUCUGCUUUAUUGCACGCACUGGAUAAGCAGAGCUCACACAGAGAUGGGUGAUGGAUGCUCAGGCACCUGGCUAAUGAAAAGCAGCAUGUUAAGCACCCUUCACUCUCACUAAUUGGAGGAAUUCUCAGAAGCACCUCCAAGCUGGCAGCUCCAAAGUAAUAAUGGCCACAAAACUCAAACAAAAAGUUAAGUCCAGGGGUUGUCACUGGGAAACUGCUGGCGUUGGAUCUUUCUCCACCCAGGUAAAGCUGCUGUGCACAAGGUGCCCCUGGACUAGGUCUGACCAGAUGAAGGUGAUACACAGCUGACCCUGGUAGCACCACGUGGGGUCCACAGGGCUGGUACAGCACAGGGCAGGAGGAUGAAGAGCACCACAGCUGCCUGCUCAGCCCUCUUCCUCAGUCCAGGACUGCAGCUGCAGAGGAGCAACAGUAAAAGAAGAUUAUGUAUAAAUUCUUC
rnacentral:lncRNA from 1 species